CCUACGGGAGGCAGCAGUGAGGAAUAUUGGACAAUGGGCGCAAGCCUGAUCCAGCCAUGCCGCGUGCAGGAAGAAGCAUCUAUGGUGUGUAAACUGCUUUUGUACGGGAAGAAACACUCCGACGUGUCGGAGCUUGACGGUACCGUAAGAAUAAGGAUCGGCUAACUCCGUGCCAGCAGCCGCGGUAAUACGGAGGAUCCAAGCGUUAUCCGGAAUCAUUGGGUUUAAAGGGUCCGUAGGCGGUUUAAUAAGUCAGUGGUGAAAGCCCAUCGCUUAACGAUGGAACGGCCAUUGAUACUGUUAGACUUGAAUUAUUGGGAAGUAACUAGAAUAUGUAGUGUAGCGGUGAAAUGCUUAGAUAUUACAUGGAAUACCAAUUGCGAAGGCAGGUUACUAUCAAUAUAUUGACGCUGAUGGACGAAAGCGUGGGGANCGAACAGGAUUUAGAUACCCUGGUAGUCCAGCCGUAAACGAUGGAUACUAGCUGUUCGGAAGCAUAUGAGUGGNGUAGACGAAGUAGAGUAAGUAAGUACCGACCGUACGGGAGGUAACGGUUCGUCGAAGAAGUAGUUAACGUUACGUAAGUUAGAGUUAGACGGACGUUGAGACGUUGCGACGGACGACGACGAGGGAGGAGG
rnacentral:rRNA from 1 species